rnacentral:ncRNA from 1 species
UUGAGCCGGAUGAUGCGAAAGUGUCAAGUCCGGUUCUUAGGAGGGGAUGAGAUGGUGACAUCAAUUCCCUACCCGCC